rnacentral:rRNA from 1 species
AACAACGAAGAGUUUGAUCCUGGCUCAGGAUGAACGCUAGCGACAGGCUUAACACAUGCAAGUCGAGGGGCAGCGGGGGAGGAAGCUUGCUUUCUCCUGCCGGCGACCGGCGCAC